rnacentral:rRNA from 1 species
UACGUAGGUCACAAGCGUUGUCCGGAUUUAUUGGGCGUAAAGGGAGCGCAGGCGGUUUGUUAAGUCUGAUGUGAAAGCCCACGGCUCAACCGUGGAAGGUCAUUGGAAACUGGGGAACUUGAGUGCAGAAGAGGAGAGUGGAAUUCCAUGUGUAGCGGUGAAAUGCGUAGAUAUAUGGAGGAACACCAGUGGCGAAGGCGACUCUCUGGUCUGUAACUGACGCUGAGGCUCGAAAGCGUGGGGAGCAAACAGGAUUAGAUACCCGGGUA